rnacentral:rRNA from 1 species
UACGGAGGGGACUAGCGUUGUUCGGAAUUACUGGGCGUAAAGCGCACGUAGGCGGAUUUGUAAGUCAGGGGUGAAAUCCCGGGGCUCAACCUCGGAACUGCCUUUGAUACUGCAAAUCUCGAGUCCGGAAGAGGCAAGUGGAAUUCCCGGUGUAGCGGUGAAAUGCGCAGAUAUCGGGAGGAACACCAAUGGCGAAGGCAGCUUGCUGGGACGGUACUGACGCUGAGACGCGAAAGCGUGGGGAGCAAACAGG